CAGCUUUCCCAACUAGCUGAGCCCCUCUGGAUCCUGCCUGUCUGCCACCCUGGUCUCCUAGCAACCCUCCGCUCUGCAGUCUGGGAGGUGGAUGUGUCAAAGGGAGUCUGGGCGGCAGAGGUGAAAACUAUGGAUGCCGGAGGAUAAAUUACAUAUCCAGAGUUAGAGAAUAACAGAGAGGGUGAAUACUAAAACCAGAAGGCAAAAUCUAUUUCCUUCAAUCACAUUAUGUGUCUCCUUAGCACUUAGAAGAACAAGCU
rnacentral:lncRNA from 10 species